rnacentral:rRNA from 1 species
CCUACGGGAGGCAGCAGUGGGGAAUAUUGCGCAAUGGGCGAAAGCCUGACGCAGCGACGCCGCGUGCGGGAUGAAGGUCUUCGGAUCGUAAACCUCUGUCAACAGGGAAGAACGGUCACUGUGCUAAUCAGCAGUGAAUUGACGGUACCUGCAAAGGAAGCACCGGCUAACUCCGUGCCAGCAGCCGCGGUAAUACGGAGGGUGCGAGCGUUAAUCGGAAUUACUGGGCGUAAAGCGCUCGUAGGCGGUAUGUCAAGUCAGGGGUGAAAUCCCCGGGCUCAACGUGGGAACUGCCUUGGAAACUGGCAAACUGGAGUGUGUGAGAGGAUAGUGGAAUUCCAGGUGUAGGAGUGAAAUCCGUAGAUAUCUGGAGGAACAUCAGUGGCGAAGGCGACUAUCUGGAACAUAACUGACGCUGAGGAGCGAAAGCGUGGGUAGCAAACAGGAUUAGAUACCCUUGUAGUC